GACGAACGCUGGCGGCAUGCCUAACACAUGCAAGUCGAACGAGACCUCCGGGUCUAGUGGCGCACGGGUGCGUAACGCGGGGGAACCUGCCCUUAGGUUCGGAAUAACUCCCCGAAAGGGGUGCUAAUACCGGAUAAUGUCUUCGGACCAAAGAUUUAUCGCCUUAGGAUGGGGCCGCGUUGGUUUAGCUGGUUGGUAGGGUAAAAGCCUACCAAGGCGACGAUCCAUAGCUGGUCUGAGAGGAUGAUCAGCCACACUGGGACUGAGACACGGCCCAGACUCCUACGGGAGGCAGCAGUGGAGAAUAUUGGACAAUGAGCGAAAGCCUGAUCCAGCAAUGCCGCGUGAGUGAUGAAGGCCUUAGGGUUGUAAAGCUCUUUUACCCGGGAUGAUAAUGACAGUACCGGGAGAAGAAGCUCCGGCUAACUCCGUG
rnacentral:rRNA from 1 species